rnacentral:rRNA from 1 species
CUACGGGAGGCAGCAGUGGGGAAUAUUGGACAAUGGGCGCAAGCCUGAUCCAGCCAUGCCGCGUGGGUGAAGAAGGCCUUCGGGUUGUAAAGCCCUUUUGUCCGGAAAGAAAAGCACGGGAUUAAUACCCUCGUGUGAUGACGGUACCGGAAGAAUAAGCACCGGCUAACUUCGUGCCAGCAGCCGCGGUAAUACGAAGGGUGCAAGCGUUACUCGGAAUUACUGGGCGUAAAGCGUGCGUAGGUGGUUUGUUAAGUCUGUCGUGAAAUCCCCGGGCUCAACCUGGGAAUGGCGAUGGAUACUGGCAAGCUAGAGUGAGGUAGAGGAGAGUGGAAUUCCCGGUGUAGCAGUGAAAUGCGUAGAGAUCGGGAGGAACAUCAGUUGCGAAGGCGGCUCUCUGGACCAUCACUGACACUGAGGCACGAAAGCGUGGGGAGCAAACAGGAUUAGAUACCCCUGUAGUCC